CGGGAGGCAGCAGUGGGGAAUAUUGGACAAUGGGCGCAAGCCUGAUCCAGCAAUGCCGCGUGUGUGAAGAAGGCCUUCGGGUUGUAAAGCACUUUUAUCAGGAGCGAAAUCUGCAUGCUUAAUACGUGGGCAGUCUGACGGUACCUGAGGAAUAAGCACCGGCUAACUUCGUGCCAGCAGCCGCGGUAAUACGAAGGGUGCAAGCGUUAAUCGGAAUUACUGGGCGUAAAGGGUGCGUAGGCGGUUCGUUAAGUCUGUCGUGAAAUCCCCGGGCUCAACCUGGGAAUGGCGAUGGAUACUGGCGAGCUAGAGUGUGUCAGAGGAUGGUGGAAUUCCCGGUGUAGCGGUGAAAUGCGUAGAGAUCGGGAGGAACAUCAGUGGCGAAGGCGGCCAUCUGGGACAACACUGACGCUGAAGCACGAAAGCGUGGGGAGCAAACAGGAUUAGAUACCCUGGUAGUCCACGCCCUAAACGAUGCGAACUGGAUGUUGGUCUCAACUCGGAGAUCAGUGUCGAAGCUAACGCGUUAAGUUCGCCGCCUGG
rnacentral:rRNA from 1 species